UACACUUGACUUGGUACAAAUCCACUGUGGCCCAGCAAAAAGUAUAUAAACCAUACCCUACUUACUGUGUAUGGAGGACAGAACAAUCGAGAGUGCCAAUGGUAAAAAAUGAUGCUGCAGGCAUAACAAUGGGCCCCCGUGUGUCUUUUUUCUUAAGGGUAAUUAACUGUUCGGAUUCAUACCUAAAAACAGGCAUGCUACUGAAACAAGUUGCUGAUGACCUAAGACAAGGCCAACCUUGCCUGGCUGAGAGAUACCUGAGUGCGUCCAUCUUUUCAGUGACAUAGUAGUCUUCCCUCAACUUUCCACACCAGCACACUGUAUCAGGGCUGGUUCAGACCUUCAUCUUCCCACAUCUGGAUGAAACACAGUCCUCUAAGCAUCCUGUCUCUUACACUAUUAUGAGAUGAAGCUUAUCUUGUUCUCUUGCUCAAGAAUAUAACUGCUUAUGGCAUCAUAUCCAGACUCUUCAGGCUUGCAUUCAAUGCCCCACGUAACUAACUUCUUCAGCCUUUGCGAUGAGUUAAGACAACUGUGCAGUUUGAGGGAAGAGUCCUCAUGUGACUUCCCUCACUUCUGACAUCAGCUGCAAGUUUGGUGAUGCCCUGGAUCAUCCUUAUUUCAGACCAGCUGGCUACAAAUUUAGGGACUCCCACAACCACCCUCAAGUUCAAUAAUUUACUAGAAUGACUCACAGAACUCAAGGAAGUGCUGUACUUCUUAUUGUAGUUUUAUUACAGUAAAAGGGUACGAAUUAAAAUCAGCUAAGAGAGGAGACACAUGGGGCAGAAUCCAGGCGGGGUCUAGUGCCAGCUGCCAGUCAUUUUCUCCCUAUGACGUCAUGGACAACACUGCUUCCUCCUGGUCACCCUGUGCAAUGAGACACACAAAGUGUUGCCAACCAUGAAAGAUCACCUCAGCCUUUGGUGUUCAGAGAUUUAUUGGGGCCUGAUCACAUCCUGCCUGAGUGGCUGACCUUGAGUUUCCAGCCACUUCUGGAGAUUGGAGAUCAAGCUAAUAUCUUUAGUUGUUCCUCCAGAGGUCGUAAAUGACACUGCGUGGCCCUCAGGCCACAAUCACAAAUCACAUUGGUAGGCUGUCAGUAGCCAAAGCUCCCCAGCAACAAAGACUUAGGCAGGGCAUUCUAGGGGCCUAGGAACCAACUCCCAGUACCUGAGGGUAAAAGCCAGACUUCUUUUUGGUAAGGUUAAUUAUUUACUACACAGCCUUAUUUCCCAUUGCUCUUCUACAGGACAUCUCCACUCAAAUAGUCCCAUACCAUGCAGUUGUUUUUUUUUUUCACCUGUAAAUUUCUCCCUUUAUUUCUAAAAUGCAGAAACACUUUGCCUUCCAUGAGGCUCAGCUUAAGUCUUACUUACCUCUAGAAACUUUGCCCAAAGCUUUUCUAAUCACCCACUUUUCUAACUAGUUGGUAUAUGCCUUGUGUGGCUUUACAAUGUGACUGGUAUUCAUAGACUUCCCUGAGCCUUAUAUCUCUCUGAGCCUAUGUGUCCACCCAAAGUAAUUGCUUAGAAAAUGCUUAUUAUUGAUGACAAUUUUCCUUGUGUCUAAGGCAUUCAAUAAAUCUUUUGACAUGAACUGAAUUGUUUCUUCAUGAUUGUAAAUUAGGCAUCUUCGUUGGGUGUAUCUUUCUCUUUCUGAUGAUUUGGGCUUUAAUUUAGAUUUUUGGCUUUAAUUUAGAUUUUGAGUCACUAUCUAAGUGAAUUAUCAGACCCUAAAACAAUCAAAUUCAAACUGACCUUCAGAAUGUUUGCAAAUGAAAACACCAAGUGGUGGGUUAACAUAAGUAGUCCCCAAGAGGUCAAAAAAUGUUUCCAUGGAACCAAUACACUCAGUGAGACUGGCUUGGCAGUUAUUUUUACUGUGACCCCUUGUGGGUUAGAACCUGUAAGAGUUGGGUAAAUCUCAUCCAGAGAAGUCUUUUGAGAAAUAAUGCACGUCAUGCAUAUGUACCCUAGAACUUAAAGUAUACUAAAAAAAGGAAAAAGAAAGAAAUAAUUUGCAAAAAGAGAAAAUAAAUUGUUAUCAAAAAAAGAGAGAAAUAAUGAUGCCUUGUUUUAGUAUCCCAAGAUCCCAGGAUUGAGCACUUAGUUAGGAAGGACCACUGUCUGCAGGGUAGAAAGAUGGGUUUUUGCUGCUGCUGGGUAGACAAAAAAGUUCCCUCACCCCCAAACAAAACACCUUUACCAAGGUGUCUAAAUUACUGGCUCCGUUCAGAUAUGGCCUCAAUGUCCAUGCCUCAGUUGUCAUGACAGCUGUGUGUGUGUGUGUGUGUGUGUGUGUGUGUGCGGGCACAUGCAUGUGUGUCUGCUGAAUGGUGUCUGGAAGCAGCACCUUCGGCAUCCAGGCAGAAAUAGAUGGGGUGUGCUGAACGGAGAGUGUCUACCCACUCAUUUAAGCAACAGUGUCAGAAAAGGUUGAAGAUAUCAUUCAGCAUCACAAUUUCAAUUAAACUCUCAAACAAUCAGCUAUUCCAUCAUUCAUACAUUCAAGGUUAGUGUCUUAGCAUCUAAGUUCUUAUUCUUUAUUGUACCAAUGCACACUAUGAUUCAGCAGUGUUCUGAUCCUGCUAAUACUGCUCUAUUAACCUUUUCUGCGCUAGCUUUCUAGUCUCAUCUCUUGCAGAAACCUCUAAUACUCUGUAUCCCACUCUGGAGAACCUCUUACAAAUUACAGUUUCAAGUUCCUAAGAUUUUUGUUAUGCAUCUCUAAAGAAGGCCAGCUUUUUCGAGACACAUCAUUCAACUUUGAGGUAGGAAAUCCAUUUUGUUCAUAGCUUGCAGCAUUGAGCCCAGGACUCGAUUUUUAUGAAUUUUCCAUAUCCCUGGAAGCCCUUUGACUCUUGCAUGCUAUUGGACUGCCAUUUCAUAAGUACUUCUUGCAUUGUGCUAAAUCGUCUUGUGGAAGUCAAAUAACUAACUUUCAGGACAUCAUUUCAUUAUUUCUGUGGCCCUCAGUAGCUUUGGCCCAGAGUUCCUAUUCUCAGUAUGAAAGAACUAUAAGAAAUUGACUCAAACAUUGCUGGCCGCUCCCAAACUGUUUCUCAUAUUUGUCUUGAGUCUGAGUAUUAAGAACAAGGCUAUGUCAGAAAGACAAGGAAAUCAGUGCUGCUUGAACAUAAGAAGCGAGAAGCACUGACUAAUCAUUGUCA
ensembl:lncRNA